UACAGAGGGUGCAAGCGUUAAUCGGAUUUACUGGGCGUAAAGCGUGCGUAGGCGGUUCAUUAAGUCGGUUGUGAAAUCCCUGGGCUUAACCUGGGAACUGCAGUCGAUACUGGUGGACUAGAAUGCGGUAGAGGGUGGCGGAACUCCGGGUGUAGCGGUGAAAUGCGCAGAUAUCAGGAGGAACACCGGUGGCGAAGGCGGGUCUCUGGGCCGAUACUGACGCUGAGGAGCGAAAGCGUGGGGAGCGAACAGG
rnacentral:rRNA from 1 species